rnacentral:lncRNA from 1 species
UAUUACCAAUAUGCUUUAUUGAACAAGACAAGCAACAGAUAACAUUCAAUUAACAUCCACGAGUUUGAGAUAAAUAAAGUGGAUACAUUCAAAACAUGAUGCUUUGGUUAAAAAUUAUUUUGACAUAUUAAAUCUUUCACACGUAGCAUGAACAGUCAAAAAAAGUAAUUGCAUAGAUGAAUUAUAGGAAGUGUGCAAUUUAUCUUAAAGGGAACCAAUAUGCAUUUUAUAGCUACCUGAAUUUAGCGGCAGUGCAAUUAACCCUUCCAUGGCAUAUUUAAAUUUUAGGCUCCUUCACAGAGUUAAUUAAAUUACUUGGGCAUGCAUUGCCCAAGUCAGUUUGUAUGUGUAUUUCAAGCUUCCAGAUACAUUUUCAUGAAAGUCUUCAAAGCCAAGGACCAGACGCUCAAUAGCCUACAUUCGCCAAGUUACAAAAUUCUUAUUUACAUCAACGAUUAAAGCAAUCAAGGAUAUUAUGUCACAGUAUUUGCACUAAUGUCAAUGAAGUCCUUAGCCUUGAAUUUGCAUAUAAAAUGGCACAAAAUACAAUCACACACUUUCCAAUUAACAGAGAAACAACAUAAAACACUAAUAUCCUGAUUUGUUUGCAGUGCCACAGAAGCUAUUCUAAUCUCUAAUUAUUGCUGAAAUGAACAUUUGAAAACAAAUUUUUUGGUAAAUCAGGAAUAAAAUGAACUUAAAAAAAAAACAAAAAAAAAAAAACUCAUACAAGCAUGAAAUUUUGGCUAUUCAUCCAUUAAGCCGAAAGACUAAUGAAUUAAUUCAAAUUGUAGAGAAUGAAAUGAACGAAUUGCUUGUUGGACGAAAUUUUGUUCUGCAAUUUUUUUUUAUUAGUUCAUUUUAUAUUACAAUGAGGGAGCUACUGGCUAAAGGCUCUAUCAUAAUAUAAAAUGGAAAUAUAUAUAUAUAUAUAUAUUUUAUUUUUUUAAUUUUUUUACAGUAAGCAGAUGCGGGCCGCUCACUCUUUAGCAGACAUGCCCGUAAUUGGCGGCAUGGCAGGUAGGGGAAGGAAGAAGGAAUUAACCAAUACUAAGUAUUUUUCACGUUAUACUGAAAGACCAAAAUUACAAAAAUCAUAAUUUUGGUCUCCGCUUCUUAGUAGAUAGCUCCCUAAUCCUUGUGGGAUAGCCUUAAGAAAACCAAAACUGAGCCAUCUACGAAACAGCUCCCUUAUUUGAUACCCUUAAAUAUUGCAAUCCCACAAGACUACCAACUUAGAAAGUGGUCUACUAAAUGGCUGCAAGAUGGAUCUGAAUUUCAUUAAUUUGAAUGAAAUUCUUAAAUGAAAAUAAAGGGCAAAUUUUGGCCGAAAACAAAUUAACAAAUGUAUGAAAUUGGGUUCAGAUGAAACAAGUAUUCAGACAAAAUGACAAUUUUGGCAGCGCACAAGCCUAAUAUACAUGAAUGUGUGUGUGUGUGUGUGUGUGUAUAUAUAUAUAUAUAUAUAUAUAUAUAUAUAUAUAUAUACACACACACACACACACACACACACUCUUGAUUAAAGUUUAAAGGGACAUAAACACUUUCAUAUGCUGGCUAUACAAAUUCUAGUGGCAGGAAAGAUUUGUAUCGCUAGACGCUGGAAUACAUCUAUAAUCCCUUGUUGGACUGAGAUACAAAUUCAGGUGAAUUGUCAAAGUUUGAUGGAAAAAGCGGUAUAUACUAACCUUGGUAAUCUUGAGCUGUAUCAUAGCAUAUGGAAUCCCUGGGUGAACUGAGAUUUUACACUGGUGACCUAGAUGGACCCCCCCCCCUUACCCCCACGAGAGUGCCCUAUUGUGUAAAUGGUUUAUUUGGUUGUUAGUUUACAUGAGAAAGAUUGAUAUCCUAUGUCUUCUGCAUAAUUAAAAAUAGUAAGCACACAGAGUUGGAAUGACUGAUGGGGGAAUUUCACAAGAUAUCUAGUUUACUAAGGCUAAAAUGAAAUUCCCCAGGAAUGGUAUAAUGAAAUAUUGAGUAAUGUACAAUACUUAAAGAUAAAAUGGAACAAGAAAAAACAAAUGAUUAUUUGGUAUUUGACAUCAAUGUUUAUAAAAACUAAGAAAACAUGAAUUAAAAAUAUAAAUUUCUGAUGUUAAAAAAAAACUAAAAUAAAAUUUAAAGGGAUGCUGCUGGAUGUUGUUGCCUAAAGUUGUAUAUGCAUUAUUAUAUAGAUAAUACAGCAAAUAUCUUGUUUCCAUGUUAUGUGGUCAGACACAGUUGCAUGUAUGUAGAUUGGUUUUUAGGGGUUUGAUCUUACGAAAAUAAUCAGGGGCAUUAUUAGAUAUUGUACAGUAUCAUUACGUGUUUAACUAUCCAGGCUGCUUCUGAAAUAUAUUAGUGUGAAAAUACAGGUACAAUUUCUUUACUCAUUUACACGAAGUGUGACAAAAAGAGAAAAAACUAAAAACUGUCAAAUAUAUUGCAAGAUCCCAAAUAUUUUGCCACCAAAAAAAUCCAUAGAAAACCUUGCAUAUGGGCCCAACUAAAACUAUAUAUUUGAUAUAUAUCAUAGAUAUAGUGCAUUGCUGGUGGUUAGAAAACUUGUGCACAAAAACAACAUUUUAGCUUGGCCAAACCAUUUAUCCCAAAAACAAAAAUUUUUGGGACACCCAAAUUUCAACAGAAUUUUGGUUUGGCUCAGCAGAAAUUUGGUACCAAAAAUUUAAUUCAGAUGCUAAAUAAGAAGAGCCAGAAGGGUGAAACAUUGGGCCGAUCAUAGUUUAUAUUAUGUAUACAUGUUGCCGUACACUGAUAGGAUCAAUUUCCUGCUAUUUGGUUUACAGAUCAAGUGGAGAAAAUGUAAAACAAAAAAAAAAAAAAGAGUGAAAAAAGGAGGGGCAGUAAAAUAAAUAUACAUAUUUAAAUGUAUAUAUUGUACAGAAAAAAAUGCAUGUAAGGUAUUAUUAAACUAUAAAAAAUUGUGUUAAAAUUAUGUUAUUUUAGGGGUCUGUAACGGAUUAAUCCUUAUGGAAAAUUCUGAUUCAGUUUUCAAACAAAACUGUUCUCGAACAGCUUUCUGGAAUGGAUUGCGUUCUAGUUCUGAGGUUCCACUGUACAGCAAGAUUACAUUAAUUUCUGAAGUGAAACCUUUAAGUUGACCUCUCAUUUACACAACAGUUUACACCACUAAUUAACACCUUAAGGACUGUGGACAUAUGAGGUAUGUCUGAUAAAAAAAACAGUCCUUAAGGACCGCGGACGUAGCUCAUACAUCCGCUGUAAAUUUGAGCGCUGGAAGUGAUCUCGCUUCCCACUGCUCUAUGGGUAUUACAGCCCAGACAGUCCCUACCCCCCCUCCAAUUUAGGACCCCCAGGAGCCAUGUGAUCGCUAUAAAAGAGCAGUCACAUGGCCGCAAUAGGUGUCCACAGUGCUGCCAGGUUGGGGACUGUCUGAACUGACAGGCAGUCCCCCUGCUGGUGAAAAAAUAAAACAAAAAGUAAAAAUUAAAUAAAUUAAAGUUUAAAAAAAUAAAAAUAAUUUUAACAUUAUAUACAUAUAUGUAAUUUUAUUCUAACUGUUUGAUAUUAAUAUAUAUACACAUUUAUAUCAUAAUACACUUAGA